GACGAACGCUGGCGGCGUGCUUAACACAUGCAAGUCGAACGGAAAGGCCCUGCUUUUGUGGGGUGCUCGAGUGGCGAACGGGUGAGUAACACGUGAGUAACCUGCCCUUGACUUUGGGAUAACUUCAGGAAACUGGGGCUAAUACCGGAUAGGAGCUCCUGCUGCAUGGUGGGGGUUGGAAAGUUUCGGCGGUUGGGGAUGGACUCGCGGCUUAUCAGCUUGUUGGUGGGGUAGUGGCUUACCAAGGCUUUGACGGGUAGCCGGCCUGAGAGGGUGACCGGCCACAUUGGGACUGAGAUACGGCCCAGCCUCCUACGGGAGGGAGCAGUGGGGAAUAUUGCACAAUAGGCGGAAGCCUGAUGCAGCAACGCCGCGUGCGGGAUGACGGCAUUCGGGUUGUAAACCGCUUUCGCCUGUGACGAAGCGUGAGUGACGGUAAUGGGUAAAGAAGCACCGGCUAACUACGUG
rnacentral:rRNA from 1 species